rnacentral:rRNA from 1 species
GACGAACGCUGGCGGCGUGCUUAACACAUGCAAGUCGAACGGAAAGGCCCUGCUUUUGUGGGGUGCUCGAGUGGCGAACGGGUGAGUAAUACGUGAGUAACCUGCCCUUGACUUUGGGAUAACGUCAGGAAACUGGGGCUAAUACCGGAUAGGAGCUCCUGCUGCAUGGUGGGGGUUGGAAAGUUUCGGCGGUUGGGGAUGGACUCGCGGCUUAUCAGCUUGUUGGUGGGGUAGUGGCUUACCAAGGCUUUGACGGGUAGCCGGCCUGAGAGGGUGACCGGCCACAUUGGGACUGAGAUACGGCCCAGACUCCUACGGGAGGCAGCAGUGGGGAAGAUUGCACAAUGGGCGGAAGCCUGAUGCAGCAACGCCGCGUGCGGGAUGACGGCCUUCGGGUUGUAAACCGCUUUCGCCUGUGACGAAGCGUGAGUGACGGUAAUGGGUAAAGAAGCACCGGCUAACUACGUG